GAAGCAUUUUUGACACCUCUUGUCACAGUGUUUGGCCUUGAUGUGAACAUUAGUUGUGCUCAGUUUGCUUUCUUAGAGGGUUUCAAAAGGCCCAGGUGAAAGGAUCCAGUAUUUCUACUUGAUAAAGAAUUGAAUAAAAGGUCUCUACAGACUUGCAGGAGUUAAUCUUUACACCUGGGAAUACCCUACGCAUAACAGCUGGAGUGAAGCCAGUCCACGAUGUUCCCCCAUCUCACACACCUCCACAUUCGGAUCCCACAAAAAAUACUAAAUGGACUUCAAUGAAACUUAGAUGGAUGAUGAGUUUUGCCCCCAAAAUAAUGCGUGGAUCCUGUUUAAAAAAGUCAGGCAUAUUAAGGUAGCUGGUAUCUAUGUGUGAGUAUAAUGUUAAGCGGAUCCAAAAGAAAUCCGGAUCUAGCAGAUUUAAAUGUGUUUUAUUUGAUUUUGCAUCAGGCUCGAUUGAAUUAAAGAGCACUUUUGGGCUUUGGCAGAGGUAUGCACUCACACUACUGAGUGCCAUUCUAGUCUUAUCUUUAUCUCAAAUCUUACCAGGACUUUCUCUGUCAGCUUUAGUCAUGAAAAUUAACAAAGGAAAAAUGGGUUUAAGUAUGACUAUAAAGGCUUUUUUGCAGAUUAUUUGAACCUAAAUGACUGUCUGUCCUUUUGUUAAUGUGGGUACCUCUGCAGUCAGUAUUGUCGUUUGUCCCACUGUUGUUUAUGUUUGUAACGAUUUAUAUGUUAAUAUGUGUGCAUGCACUGCCUGUUGAGAUAAACAGGUAUCACUCCGUCCAAACCGGUGUGUAUUUCAGCAGGGUGGAGGUGGUACCAGUCG